rnacentral:lncRNA from 10 species
UGAGGAUACUCCAGUGAACCACAUACAGGCCCUACCCUUGUGGCAGUUACAUUCUGGAAGGGAGAGGUGGGCAAAAUUUAUAGUAAGUCAGACAGCGAGAAGUGCUAAGGAGAAAAAUAAAGCUGGGAGGGGAAGUGGUUCCCAUUUUAUAAGGAUGAGCAAAGAAAGCAUCACUGAUGAUGUGCUAUUUGAGCAAAGGCCUGAAAGAAGAGAAAGGGCAAGCCACACAUCUGGGGAAGCACAUGCCAGGUGAAGAGCCCUGCAGAAGUCCAUGAUCAGGAACAAGGAGGCCAGUGUGGCUGAAACAGAGUGGGAGAUAAAGAUGAGACAAAGGAGGCUCAGAGGAUUAAGUGACCUGCCCGCAGCAACACGGAGAAGAUGUGGUGGAACCAGGGAUCAAAAAUUUGUCCUCUGUGUAUAUAGCGCCUCAACUUUCCAUCACACUUGCCUUCCUGGUGACCUGAUAUCCCAGGAUUUUCACUUACUGCUCUGGGGACACAUUGGUUAAAUCCAAGUGGUUUGCAGGCACUGACUGGCAACAUAACUGUGGUCAAUAGAAGAAUGAUGUACUGAGUGGUGGUCACUUAGAACCAUGCAUCUGCCACCCCUCGAGGCUGGGCCAUGAAGAAGGCAUGGCUCGGCUGGCACGGUGGCUCACACCUGUAAUUCCAGCAAUUUGGGAGGCCGAGGUAGGCUGAUUGCUUGAGCUUAGGAGUUUAAGACCAGCCUGGGCAUCAUGGCAAAACCCCAUCUCUAUAAAAAAUACAAACAUUAGCCAGGUGGUAUGCACCUGUGAUCCCAGCAACAGCAGGAGGCUGAGGUGGGAGGAUCGCUUGAACCGGGUGUCAGACCUCAGAGCCUAAGCUAAGCCAUCAUAUCCCCAGUGACCUGCUUGUGUACAUCCAGAUGGCCUGAAGCAACUGAAGAUCCACAGAAGUGAAAAUAGCAUUAACUGAUGACAUUCCACCAUUGUGAUUUGUUUCUGCCCCACCCUAACUGAUCAAUGUUCUUGAUAAUUUCCCCCACCCUUAAGAAGUUUCUUUAUAAUUCGCCCCACCCUUGAAUGUACUUUGUGAGAUCCACCCUCUGCCCCAAAAACAUUGCUCUUAACUCCACCUCCUAUCCCAAAACCUAUAAGAACCAAUGGUAAUCCCACAACCCUUUGCUGCCUCCUUUUUUGGACUCAGCCUGCCUGCACCCAGGUGAAAUAAACAGCUAUGCUGCUC